AUUAGGUUGGUGCAAAAGUUUUUGCAGGUUUUGUCAUUGAAAGUAAUGGCAAAAACUGCAGUUACUUCUGCACCACCCUAAUGCU
rnacentral:miRNA from 1 species